rnacentral:rRNA from 1 species
GAUGAACGCUGGCGGCGUGCCUAAUACAUGCAAGUCGAGCGAACGGACGAGAAGCUUGCUUUUCUGAUGUUAGCGGCGGACGGGUGAGUAACACGUGGAUAACCUACCUAUAAGACUGGGAUAACUUCGGGAAACCGGAGCUAAUACCGGAUAAUAUUUUGAACCGCAUGGUUCAAAAGUGAAAGACGGUCUUGCUGUCACCUAUAGAUGGAUCCGCGCUGCAUUAGCUAGUUGGUAAGGUAACGGCUUACCAAGGCAACGAUGCAUAGCCGACCUGAGAGGGUGAUCGGCCACACUGGAACUGAGACACGGUCCAGACUCCUACGGGAGGCAGCAGUAGGGAAUCUUCCGCAAUGGGCGAAAGCCUGACGGAGCAACGCCGCGUGAGUGAUGAAGGUCUUCGGAUCGUAAAACUCUGUUAUUAGGGAAGAACAUAUGUGUAAGUAACUGUGCACAUCUUGACGGUACCUAAUCGGAAAGCCACGGCUAACUACGUG